UACACAUGCAAGUCGACGAUGAACCACUUCGGUGGGGAUUAGUGGCGAACGGGUGAGUAACACGUGGGCAAUCUGCCCUGCACUCUGGGACAAGCCCUGGAAACGGGGUCUAAUACCGGAUACUGAGCCGCUUGGGCAUCCAAGUGGUUCGAAAGCUCCGGCGGUGCAGGAUGAGCCCGCGGCCUAUCAGCUUGUUGGUGAGGUAAUGGCUCACCAAGGCGACGACGGGUAGCCGGCCUGAGAGGGCGACCGGCCACACUGGGACUGAGACACGGCCCAGACUCCUACGGGAGGCAGCAGUGGGGAAUAUUGCACAAUGGGCGAAAGCCUGAUGCAGCGACGCCGCGUGAGGGAUGACGGCCUUCGGGUUGUAAACCUCUUUCAGCAGGGAAGAAGCGAAAGUGACGGUACCUGCAGAAGAAGCGCCGGCUAACUACGUGCCAGCAGCCGCGGUAAUACGUAGGGCGCAAGCGUUGUCCGGAAUUAUUGGGCGUAAAGAGCUCGUAGGCGGCUUGUCACGUCGGUUGUGAAAGCCCGGGGCUUAACCCCGGGUCUGCAGUCGAUACGGGCAGGCUAGAGUUCGGUAGGGGAGAUCGGAAUUCCUGGUGUAGCGGUGAAAUGCGCAGAUAUCAGGAGGAACACCGGUGGCGAAGGCGGAUCUCUGGGCCGAUACUGACGCUGAGGAGCGAAAGCGUGGGGAGCGAACAGGAUUAGAUACCCUGGUAGUCCACGCCGUAAACGGUGGGCACUA
rnacentral:rRNA from 2 species